UGGGGCAGCCUGCAGGGGCAGCAGCUCCUGCCUUCUCUGCAGCUCCGCGGCCAGGGGUGGAAGGAAACUGCAGCCGCAGCCCCAAGUCAGCCCCCGCUGCCCUGUCCCACCGUCUCAUCUCUCCCCCCUCGGUAGUGGAGUACAGUUUUAACAGCCUGAACACUGGAAACCAGUUGACUUCAAUGCCAGACAGUCAGUCAAGACAUGCUGAAUUGAAUGGAACAGCAAGAAAAUGGGUAUUAGAAAUCUACUUUAUCCAAUAUCUGCAAAAUUAAUUUGACGGAGGUUCUGAAUUCCUUACAGGCCAUUCUUCCUCUUUUCCACCCAUUUUGGGCUGCAAGCACUGAGUUGGAGACACAAUAUUUUAAAUGUGGAAGUGGAAAAGAGAAGUAGCAAGUGCUGGGGCCAGAGCAUUACUCUAAAGUCCUUGUGUUCCCUGCUCUGCCUCGCAGUUUUCAACAAGAUCUUGCAUGGAAACGGAGAAAUUGAAGAUACCUGUUGCAUUCAUAGCUUGCAAGAUAUGUUGUGAAAAUUACAAAGGAAUUCAAUCAGGAGAUGAAUGUGGAAUACGAACUUGAGCCAGCUGCUGAGAGGAAUUCAGAGUGCCUACAAACAAAUGGUGAACCUUGUUUUCUGAGACAAGAAUUGUGGAUGACACUGGGACAGGAUGAAGGUAAUCACUGAGACAUGAGGCAUACCUUUGCAUUAUUUCUGGAGUAGCUAUCUUUCAGCCCUGAGUUUCUGAUCUGUCAAA